UCUUCUGUCACUUACGAGCAGAAUUCUGGCUAUUGGCGCAACAUUGAAUGUUUAUUCCAAAUUAUCUCAUUCGUGAUACAUAGACAUACAAUGCAACAUUUACGUUAGAAUUUUUAAUAAGGCAUGCAGAAAUUGUACGAAAUGGCUGACUAUCUUAGCCAAUGAUUGGACUUCGAUUGGCGGCCAUCGAAGCGGUCGACACUCUCGAACUGGUCGAUGCAUCAGGUUCUGCAGCAGGUCUAAUCACGUUCCUUUUUCUCGUGCGUUUUCUCGACGGUAAGGCAGACCAAGGGUCAGUGAUUGGUCGAGACGGGAGAAGGGGCCUAUGCGGCCCUAAGGCCCCCAUCCGAGAUCGGCCGUCCUACCACCACGGGGAUACCUUUGACGGGUCGGCAAUAAGAACAAGUAUGAAAUCAACCUCCCGACAGACAACAGACUCUAUCAGAUGGUAAUUAUGUGUAUGGCUGAUACAAGGAGAUACGGCCCGAUAUGCACCUAUAUCCGAAAUCUAUACUGGGUGUCAAACUCUGAAAUAGAAUUCUUCGUUAACGAAAUGCCAGCUCGAGUGAACGCUCAAGUAUUGUACUUCUCUUGUGGCAAUAAUGCGAGACCGAGUGCACAAAAAAAACAAUUCUCUGCCUCAAGUUUGUUAAAUGUCGUGAAACUGUACGUCAACAUCUUUUCGAUAUCAUCGUGUUACAUAAUUUUUGAGUAUAGUGUUUCAGUGGGAUAAUUAUACGAGCAGGUGCGAUAGCUCUCUUCGAGCCGUUAAAUUACGUGUACACUGAAAUAAUCUGGCAUGUGCGCAUCAAAUUGAUUAAAGAACGUACUACAUCAUUUUCUUAACAUUGCGGCGUCACUUGAUCUUUUUAAAAUUUAUCUCAAAAAGACGCGUAUUCAUAUAUCUUUUACUGAAAGUAAAAUAAAUUUACAAAUACAUCGAUGUAUUUAAACGUUGCUUAGCGAUCAAUAAUUACGAUUAAUAAUAUUGAA